rnacentral:lncRNA from 1 species
UGGGUGAAUAAAGGCAAUGUCUAUCCUCUACCUCACAGUCAGCUUACGCCUGGUGUUGCUGAUGUUAGACCAAGAAAUGCUGCUCCUUGGGGAGAAGCUGUUGUUCACAGGGUCUGGAGUCAGCAUUAGCGUGAGAGACCAUGAAAAUGACCUGUCAGAAACAAAUCCGGGUAUUCCAGUCCAGAUGAGAGCAUAAUAUGAGUCAAAUAUUGCUCAUUUCGAAAAAGCGCUAUGCUAAGAUCUGUUGUUUGUGGGAUUGCUUGGACUCAGUAAGGCACUCCGAUUUACUUUGGGAUCAAAUCCCCUUCCUGAGGAAAUCAAGCGGCCCUUUGCGAACAGGCAGCAGGAGUUGGUGUGCGAGCGGAGGCUGCGCUGUGAGCUGGGUGCAGGAUCAUGCUCGAAGUUCAAGGCUUCCAGAAGUCCUAAAACCUGCUUUUUGUGGGCAAACAGUUAAAGGUCCGUGGUAGCACGAACAGCUUUGGUGUCCGGGCGCCAAAGGAGACACCUG